rfam:Marinomonas spartinae strain CECT 8886 genome assembly, contig: 0004
CUUCACCGCCGAACAGGCGGCUUAGAAA